AAGUCGUAACAAGGUUUCCGUAGGUGGCGGAAGGAUCAUUAACACGUAUCCAACGUUAAACAACACUGUGAACCUUCAUUCCUGCUCUCCUCGAGCCCUAACAAAGCAAUCCGGACCAAUUUGAUUCAAGGACCUCUUGUCAGCCCUCGGGGAUUCGAUUCUGCGGGGCAGGUGAAAGUGUCGCUGAUUGCUUAAGCAGAUAACCGAAUAAAACUCGGAUCAUCGAGUGCCCACACGACCGAUGAACAAGUCUCUGGGCGCCAAAUUAACUACCUCUAAGCCUUAGCGCUGUCGUGAAAGCUGAACAACUGUUAACAAUGGAUAUCUUGGUUCUC
rnacentral:misc_RNA from 1 species